UCCCUGGUGUCUCAGACAGUAAAGAAACUGCCUGCAAUGCAGGAGACCCAGGUUCAAUCCCUGGAUUGGGAA
rnacentral:tRNA from 1 species